rnacentral:tRNA from 1 species
GGGGAUGUAGCUCAGUGGUAGAGCACUUGCCUAGCACGUGUGAGGCCCUGGGUUCGAUUCUCAGCACCA